GGAACCGCCUGCACGUCCUCAUCUGCGUGCAGUCCCUGUGCCAGCACCACAGCUCCCUGGAGACAGUGUCCCGGCUGGAGAGCAGUGGCGACCUCUUCACCGUCUCUGUCAACGGAGUCCUGUACCUGCAGGCUGGGCAGUACGCCUCUGUUUUCGUCGACAAUGCCGCCCGCUCGCCCCUCACUGUCCAAAGCGGCUCCAGCUUCAGCGCGGUGCUGC